rnacentral:tRNA from 1 species
GGCCGGGUGGCGAAAUCGGCAUACGCGCAACACUUAAAAUGUUGUGGGAGCAAUCCCGUGCGGGUUCAAGUCCCGCCCUGGCCA